rnacentral:rRNA from 1 species
UACGUAGGAUGCGAGCGUUGUUCGGAAUCACUGGGCGUAAAGCGUACGUAGGCGGUAAAUUUAGUCUGCUAUUAAAGACCGGGGCUCAACUCCGGGAAUGUAGCAGAAACUGAUUUGCUAGAGGUUAGUAGAGGGAAUCGGAAUUCUCAGUGUAGCGGUGAAAUGCGUAGAUAUUGGGAAGAACACCAGUGGCGAAAGCGGAUUUCUGGGCUAAUACUGACGCUGAGGUACGAAAGCGUGGGGAGCAAACGGG